AUCCAGCUGAGGAGUCCCAAAUCAGAUGAAACGCGCGUCUUGGGU
rfam:Schistosoma curassoni strain Dakar, Senegal genome assembly, scaffold: SCTD_scaffold0008732